rnacentral:rRNA from 1 species
ACCUGCGGAAGGAUCAUUACCGAGUUUUCGAGCUUCGGCUCGACUCUCCCACCCUUUGUGAACGUACCUCUGUUGCUUUGGCGGCUCCGGCCGCCAAAGGACCUUCAAACUCCAGUCAGUAAACGCAGACGUCUGAUAAACAAGUUAAUAAACUAAAACUUUCAACAACGGAUCUCUUGGUUCUGGCAUCGAUGAAGAACGCAGCGAAAUGCGAUAAGUAAUGUGAAUUGCAGAAUUCAGUGAAUCAUCGAAUCUUUGAACGCACAUUGCGCCCCUUGGUAUUCCGGGGGGCAUGCCUGUUCGAGCGUCAUUACAACCCUCAAGCUCUGCUUGGAAUUGGGCACCGUCCUCACUGCGGACGCGCCUCAAAGACCUCGGCGGUGGCUGUUCAGCCCUCAAGCGUAGUAGAAUACACCUCGCUUUGGAGCGGUUGGCGUCGCCCGCCGGACGAACCUUCUGAACUUUUCUCAAGGUUGACCUCGGAUCAGGUAGGGAUACCCGCUGAACUUAAGCAUAUCAAA